AGUCGAAACGCUUACGUAGCGUCUCUCAGAGGUGGCCUCCUGAGACUGAUGAUGACAGGCUUAA
rnacentral:hammerhead_ribozyme from 1 species